rnacentral:tRNA from 1 species
GCUGAUGUGGUGGAAUUGGUAGACACGCUGUCUUGAGGUGGCAGUGAGAUUUCUUGUAGGGGUUCAAGUCCCCUCUUCAGCA